GAUGAAGAACGUAGCGAAAUGCGAUAAGUAAUGUGAAUUGCAGAAUUCAGUGAAUCAUCGAAUCUUUGAACGCACAUUGCGCCCGCCAGUAUUCUGGCGGGCAUGCCUGUUCGAGCGUCAUUACAACCCUCAGGCCCCCGGGCCUGGCGUUGGGGAUCGGCGGAGCCCCCCGUGGGCACACGCCGUCCCCCAAAUGCAGUGGCGGUCCCGCCGCAGCUUCCAUCGCGUAGUAGCUAACACCUCGCGACUGGAGAGCGGCGCGGCCACGCCGUAAAACACCCAACUCUUCUGAAGUUGAGCUCGAAUCAGGUAGGAAUACCCGCUGAACUUAAGCAUAUCAAUAAGCGGAGGA
rnacentral:misc_RNA from 1 species